GGGCAGGGAGGGGAGGAAGGCAUGAAGCCAAAGGAGAAGUUGGGCUGGGGUGCAAUCUGAACAGAGGCCUCGGCUGACCCUGGGUGAGGGUCCGAGGCAGGGACAAGGCAUUGGAGGAGGAGCAAGGGAAAACACAACGUUCCUCUGCCACGCUGGGUGUCCCCCGGGGCUGGCGAUGAGUUCUGCAGACCUCUAAUCUCCAAACGCCGAGCUGCCCACAGCCCCCCCGCUUUGGAGCCUGCGGGCAGCGAACAGUCAAAUCUAUUCCGACCUCCAAGGCUGCGGUUCGAGCUGCUGGUCAAUCUCAGCCUCGCGUGAAGGCAAAGCGACAGAGACGGGGUGGGAUCCGGGAGCAAUACCUCGUCGUGGGCACCCUGCAGAGCGUAAGCGUGCAGACACGGAGGCUGCAAAGCAAUGAAUGCCUCUGUGAGGUAAGGGGCUGGGCCCGGCAGCUGGGGGAGUCCUGCCAUCGUCAGCAUUCGACGGUCUGUGUGCUGUGCCACCUGCCACGCUUGGCUUCCGGCACGCUGUGCCUGUCACGUGGCCCGGAGGCAGUCCCCUUGGAGUCCCCAGAUGCUGGCUCUCCCACCUCUGUUCUUGUGUGACACAGAGGUGUGGCUAUGCGCGGGGGAGCCCAGGGCUGUGGGGAGAAAUCAGAAAUGCGGCCAAGAGGGAGCGGGUCCAGGAAGAGCCACGGUUUGACCCUCGCCAGGCCAUCCUACACCGGUCGGACUCUUCCUCCGGGGUUUGGAAAAAGCGAGCAGCCACAAGAGGCUCCCAGGUAUCCCAUCUGCCGCCUUUCCUCACGGGAGGAAUCUCAGGAAGGUCUGGUGGCCGCAGCUGUGACCUCCAUCACCACGCGCCCGCGAGUGUGAACGGUCACAGCUGUGGCCCCCGCACACACCAGGCUUCACCGCAGCAUCCCCUCCCCGUCCCCAUCCCAACACUCACCAACAACCAGGAGGCGUUGGGGGAGUGUUUAAAAACCAUGAUCACCCAUUAAAGCCUGUAAGGCACAGAAGACCUUCACGCGACCCUUGUCAUCACAAACCAACACGUUCUCAGGGUUCCGGGCGUCAUCAGUGAAUAAGAUGCUGCUUAAGUGACAUUUCUAGAUGACCCGGUCAGGCCCGCCUGUUCAUCGACCGACGCCUUAUGGUAGCCACGUUAACCUAAAAAGCUUUCCCAAAUUUA